UCGGCCCGAUCCUCCCACCCUUUGUGUACCUACCUCUGUUGCUUUGGCGGGCCGCGGUCCUCCGCGGCCGCCCCCCUCCCCGGGGGGUGGCCAGCGCCCGCCAGAGGACCAUCAAACUCCAGUCAGUAAACGAUGCAGUCUGAAAAACAUUUAAUAAACUAAAACUUUCAACAACGGAUCUCUUGGUUCUGGCAUCGAUGAAGAACGCAGCGAAAUGCGAUAAGUAAUGUGAAUUGCAGAAUUCAGUGAAUCAUCGAAUCUUUGAACGCACAUUGCGCCCUUUGGUAUUCCGAAGGGCAUGCCUGUUCGAGCGUCAUUACAACCCUCAAGCUCUGCUUGGUAUUGGGCACCGUCCUUUGCGGGCGCGCCUCAAAGACCUCGGCGGUGGCGUCUUGCCUCAAGCGUAGUAGAACAUACAUCUCGCUUCGGAGCGCAGGGCGUCGCCCGCCGGACGAACCUUCUGAACUUUUCUCAAGGUUGACCUCGGAUCAGGUAGGGAUACCCGCUGAACUUAAGCAUAUCAAUAAGCGGAGGAA
rnacentral:rRNA from 1 species